UUAGAAAGUAAGGCAAAGGGCUGGGGAUUUUAAUCCCCUUCCCCUUGUAUUACUUUUCCUUUUCUUUGUAGUGGAGGAAGAUGGAAUGGACAGUGUGAAGGGACUCCCAAAAAAAAAAGCCCUGUAUUGUAGUUUAAGCUUUACAUGGACCACGACAGAUCUACCUCUUCUUCAAACUUUAUUUCAAAGAAGCAUUUGCUUGACAGUUGUAAGGUAGAAGAAUUCCUGAAUAAUGGCAGUUCCAUUAACUGAAGUUUGAGGAUUACCUUAAGGAGUGAUGUCAGUCAGCUAAUUCCAAGGUAGGGCUGGGCACAAGAGUUCUAAAGAACUUCUGGUAUGCCACACCUGCUCUCUCUCAUUCCAACCUCUCCCAAGUUGAGACACAGACAAAGGAACCCAAUGAAAAACUGAUGCCAAAGUCCAGGUUAAAGACUAAGGACUAUGGGUGAUCGUCGCUUGGAUGCUUGGUCUCAGGCUGUUGUGUUUGGCAGAUAUCAGUGAUUCUUCAGAAUGUUGGAAGGUGCCCAUAACUGACGGUACCUAGAAAAUCUGCAUUACAAACAAGUGUGGUUUGUGAAAUGUUACCAAAUAUCGAUUAAAAAGCUUAUUGACAUCAAUGAUAUUGCUGCUUAUAGUAGCUCCUUAAAUAUACUGUAUAUUCCAGGAGAAGCUCCGUUCGGAAACAUAAGUUCCUGGUGAAUGACCACUGUUUCAGGAAGAGUCAAGUGGUGUAACCAUGACACAAGCAGAAUCACAUGUGUCAUCCAGUCCUGUUAAAGCUACAAUGGUGGGCAUGGGGGGGCAGCUGAUGCAAACCGAGGAGGGAGGGAUUACAAGCAUAACCCUGGCUUCAUUUUUAAUACCAUUGUUGGUAUCUUAUUUAGCCAAGAUCAACUUCUUAUAUAACCUAUUUUCUAGCUGGAUAUCUAGUAUUUGAUGACACCUCUGAAGUAGUGUAUUACCUGAAGUUGUUCAGAAAUGAUUUUCUGAAUGAAUUCCAAAUUGGAUGAUGGGAAUUUUGAAAGGCUGGAAGUUUGCUUUACUAGAAGGUCCAAAGAGUUUCUUAUUGAUCCUGAUGUAAAUAGAUUUGCUGAGUCAUAGUAAGAAUAACAAUUUAGAUGAUAAAACUGAGGCAGGCCAUUGAAACUGAUUCCAUUCAAAAAUGAUUCUGGCCAGGAGGGGAAAGGCAAAACACUGGGAGAGGCACACUUUGGGAUAUCAGACACAGGACAGACAUUCACAGGCACUAUCCAACAUGUGGUCAUUCAGCAGAGUUGGGGAGUGGAGUGGGAUGGCAAGGUUCCAAAUCCUUCAAAGGAGCACUUACUUUAUUCUUGUUUUUCUGCCUAAUCUGUGAUUACUGAAUCUAUCCUUUCAAUAUCACUCUGGAUUUCAUUUUCUCUCAUCUUAUUCUACUUUAUUCUUGAUACCUUCUGUAUCCUCCCACAAUCCCCAACUCCUUCCAACUCUGCAAUUCCUUUCUCAUUUCAUCUUUCACAAAUGCAUGUGGAAAAUAUGAACCACUAUCAAAAGUUCAUAUUCUUAAAACUGUUUUUUCUAUUCUAUGACCAAGAAAAAGCAUGAAUGAAAACAGCACUGCUAACCACAAUUAAUUGGGCACAGAGAAUAAAGAAAAAGCAGAAAUGGAUGGGUUAUUUUUGUGCUGUUAAUAUUACUGACCUCCCCAAAUGAGCAAAUCAGCCAUUAAGCUUAUUAUAUAAUCUGUGUGUGUGUGA